CUGGAAAUGAUGCAUGUAAUUAACCUGAUAUAAUAUGAGGGUUAUUGUAUUCAUACUGUCUGAUCCAG
ensembl:snoRNA